AAAUUGAAGAGUUUGAUCAUGGCUCAGAUUGAACGCUGGCGGCAGGCCUAACACAUGCAAGUCGAACGGUAACAGGAAGCAGCUUGCUGCUUCGCUGACGAGUGGCGGACGGGUGAGUAAUGUCUGGGAAACUGCCUGAUGGAGGGGGAUAACUACUGGAAACGGUGGCUAAUACCGCAUAACGUCGCAAGACCAAAGAGGGGGACCUUCGGGCCUCUUGCCAUCAGAUGUGCCCAGAUGGGAUUAGCUAGUUGGUGAGGUAACGGCUCACCAAGGCGACGAUCCCUAGCUGGUCUGAGAGGAUGACCAGCCACACUGGAACUGAGACACGGUCCAGACUCCUACGGGAGGCA
rnacentral:rRNA from 1 species